CAGCAGCCGCGGGAAAACGUAGGUGGCAAGCGUUGUCCGGAAUUAUUGGGCGUAUAGGGCUCGCAGGCGGUUUCUUAAGUCUGAUGUGAAAGCCCCCGGCUCAACCGGGGAGGGUCAUUGGAAACUGGGAAACUUGAGUGCAGAAGAGGAGAGUGGAAUUCCACGUGUAGCGGUGAUAUGCGUAGAGAUGUGGAGGAACACCAGUGGCGAAGGCGACUCUCUGGUCUGUAACUGACGCUGAGGAGCGAAAGCGUGGGGAGCGAACAGGAUUAGAUACCCGCGUAGUCCCUGUCUCUUAUAC
rnacentral:rRNA from 1 species